UACGUAGGGUGCAAGCGUUAAUCGGAAUUACUGGGCGUAAAGCGUGCGCAGGCGGUUUUGUAAGUCUGUUGUGAAAGCCCCGGGCUUAACCUGGGAAUGGCGAUGAAGACUGCAAGGCUAGAAUCUGGCAGAGGGGGGUAGAAUUCCACGUGUAGCAGUGAAAUGCGUAGAGAUGUGGAGGAACACCGAUGGCGAAGGCAGCCCCCUGGGUCAAGAUUGACGCUCAUGCACGAAAGCGUGGGGAGCAAACAGG
rnacentral:rRNA from 1 species